rnacentral:rRNA from 1 species
UACGUAGGUGGCAAGCGUUAUCCGGAAUUAUUGGGCGUAAAGAGCGCGCAGGUGGUUGAUUAAGUCUGAUGUGAAAGCCCACGGCUUAACCGUGGAGGGUCAUUGGAAACUGGUCGACUUGAGUGCAGAAGAGGGAAGUGGAAUUCCAUGUGUAGCGGUGAAAUGCGUAGAGAUAUGGAGGAACACCAGUGGCGAAGGCGGCUUCCUGGUCUGUAACUGACACUUAGGCGCGAAAGCGUGGGGAGCAAACAUGAUUAGAUA